rnacentral:rRNA from 1 species
GGCGAACGCUGGCGGCGUGCUUAACACAUGCAAGUCGAACGGAAAGGCCCUGCUUUUGUGGGGUGCUCGAGUGGCGAACGGGUGAGUAACACGUGAGUAACCUGCCCUUGACUUUGGGAUAACUUCAGGAAACUGGGGCUAAUACCGGAUAGGAUCUCCUGCUGCAUGGUGGGGGUUGGAAAGUUUCGGCGGUUGGGGAUGGACUCGCGGCUUAUCAGCUUGUUGGUGGGGUAGUGGCUUACCAAGGCUUUGACGGGUAGCCGGCCUGAGAGGGUGACCGGCGACAUUGGGACUGAGAGACGGACCAGACGCCUACGGGAGGCAGCAGUGGGGAAUAUUGCAGAAUGGGCGGAAGCCUGAGGCAGCAACGCCGCGUGCGGGAUGACGGCCUUCGGGUUGUAAACCGCUUUCGCCUGUGACGAAGCGUGAGUGACGGUAAUGGGUAAAGAAGCACCGGCUAACUACGUG